CCUGAAGCAAAUACUCUUCAAAACAACCCCUAUGCACAGGUCUGUAUGAAUGUCCUAAUAUUACAAGAUCGACCAUGCAGAUGCAAAAGCAAGGAAAAUUAGAAAAUUUGUAUUUCGUACUACCCUUGUAUUACUUCCCCAAUACAAGUAAUAAAUGAAAGAAUAACACAGCCAUCAAGCCAAAUUCCUCAAACAGAAUUAGAGUUUAACUGCAGCAUAUCUACUUAGACCAAGCA
rnacentral:misc_RNA from 1 species